rnacentral:rRNA from 1 species
CAGCCGCCGCGGUAAUACAGAGGGUGCGAGCGUUAAUCGGAAUUACUGGGCGUAAAGCGCGCGUAGGUGGUUUGUUAAGUUGGAUGUGAAAUCCCCGGGCUCAACCUGGGAACUGCAUCCAAAACUGGCAAGCUAGAGUAUGGUAGAGGGUGGUGGAAUUUCCUGUGUAGCGGUGAAAUGCGUAGAUAUAGGAAGGAACACCAGUGGCGAAGGCGACCACCUGGACUGAUACUGACACUGAGGUGCGAAAGCGUGGGGAGCAAACAGGAUUAGAUACCCCGGUAGUCCCUGUCUCUUAUAC